UACGUAGGUGGCAAGCGUUGUUCGGAAUUAUUGGGCGUAAAGGGCGCGUAGGCGGCCGUGUAAGUCACUUGUGAAAUCCCGGGGCUCAACUCCGGGGCUGCAGGUGAGACUGCAUGGCUAGAGCACGGUAGAGGCGAGUGGAAUUCCCGGUGUAGCGGUGGAAUGCGUAGAUAUCGGGAAGAACACCGGUGGCGAAGGCGGCUCGCUGGGCCGUUGCUGACGCUGAGGCGCGAAAGCGUGGGGAGCAAACAGG
rnacentral:rRNA from 1 species